UACAGAGGGGGCAAGCGUUGUUCGGAAUUACUGGGCGUAAAGGGCGCGUAGGCGGUUCGUUAAGUCCUGUGUGAAAUCCCCCGGCUCAACUGGGGAGCUGCACAGGAAACUAGCGGGCUUGAGUUCGGGAGAGGGAAGCGGAAUUCCGGGUGUAGCGGUGAAAUGCGUAGAUAUCCGGAGGAACACCGGUGGCGAAGGCGGCUUCCUGGACCGACACUGACGCUGAGGCGCGAAAGCUAGGGGAGCAAACGGG
rnacentral:rRNA from 1 species